rnacentral:rRNA from 1 species
UACAGAGGUCUCAAGCGUUGUUCGGAUUCAUUGGGCGUAAAGGGUGCGUAGGUGGCGUCGUAAGUCUGGUGUGAAAUUUCGGAGCUUAACUUCGAAACUGCAUUUGAUACUGCGGUGCUUGAGGACUGGAGAGGAGACUGGAAUUUACGGUGUAGCAGUGAAAUGCGUAGAUAUCGGGAGGAACACCAGUGGCGAAGGCGACUACCUGGCCUGUUUCUUGACGCUGAGGCGCGAAAGCUAGGGGAGCAAACGGG